rnacentral:rRNA from 1 species
AUUGAACGCUGGCGGCAUGCUUUACACAUGCAAGUCGAACGGUAACAGGCCGCCAGGUGCUGACGAGUGGCGUACGGGGGGGUAAUGCGCCGGAACGUUCCCAGUCGUGGGGGGUAACUACUCGAAAGAGUGGCUAAUACCGCAUACGAUCUAUGGAUGAAAGCGGGGGACCGCAAGGCCUCGCGCGAUUGGAGCGGCCGAUGUCAGAUUAGGUAGUUGGUGGGGUAAAGGCACACCAAGCCAACGAUCUGUAACUCGUCUGAGAGGACGACCAGCCACACUGGGAGUGAGAAACGGCCCAGACUCCGACGGGAGGCAGCAGUGGGGAAUUUUGGACGAUGGGGGAAAGCCUGAUACAGCAAUGCCGCGUGCAGGAAGAAGGACUUCGGGUUGUAAAGUGCUUUUGGACGGAAGGAAGCGGAGCUGGUUAAUACGCGAUGAUAAUGACGGUACCGGAAGAAUAAGCACCGGCUAACUACGUG